ACAUACGACCAAAGUUUCUUGAGAGCAUCGCUUCCCGUUCGCUCAGCGGUAAUUAAGCAGGAAAACGGCGGAUUAGUAGUUAGGUGGGUGACCACUAGCGAAUCCCCGCUGUCGUAUGUU
rfam:Cochliobolus heterostrophus C5 unplaced genomic scaffold COCHEscaffold_1, whole genome shotgun sequence.